UUCCAUUGCUAAGUCAAGGCUCCUUUCUGCAUUCGCAAAUUCCUCCAUGAAAGUCGCCUGUUACAGCUUUGGUACAUUAAGCAGCGCUCGCCGUCUUAUUUUGAGGUGGUUACCGACAUUGCAUCCGUCUUGGAAGCUUCGUCUCCAGAGCGCACGGCGUGUUUCGUCUGAGUUGAGGUUUGCUUUGCCAAAACUUAUUGGCUUUCAUAUCAUAGCACGUCUCUUAGUAAUGUCUCACACAUAC
rnacentral:snoRNA from 1 species